rnacentral:rRNA from 1 species
CCUUCGGGGGGCAGCAGUGGGGAAUAUUGGACAAUGGGGGGAACCCUGAUCCAGCGACGCCGCGUGAGUGAAGAAGUAUUUCGGUAUGUAAAGCUCUAUCAGCAGGGAAGAAAGAAAUGACGGUACAUGACUAAGAAGCCCCGGCUAACUACGUGCCAGCAGCCGCGGUAAUACGUAGGGGGCAAGCGUUAUCCGGAUUUACUGGGUGUAAAGGGAGCGUAGACGGCGAUGCAAGUCUGAAGUGAAAGGCGGGGGCUCAACCCCCGGACUGCUUUGGAAACUGUAUGGCUGGAGUGCAGGAGAGGUAAGUGGAAUUCCUAGUGUAGCGGUGAAAUGCGUAGAUAUUAGGAGGAACACCAGUGGCGAAGGCGGCUUACUGGACUGUAACUGACGUUGAGGCUCGAAAGCGUGGGGAGCAAACAGGAUUAGAUACCCCUGUAGUC